rfam:Caenorhabditis briggsae complete genome, chrIII
CAUUUCAAGCGGCCUUCAACGACUAUAUCAACCGAAUCCAAAUUCGCGAGUUGAUAUGUUGUUUUGAAUGUCACUUGAGGUU